rnacentral:rRNA from 1 species
GACGAACGCUGGCGGCGUGCUUAACACAUGCAAGUCGAACGGAAAGGCCCUGCUUUUGUGGGGUGCUCGAGUGGCGAACGGGUGAGUAACACGUGAGUAACCUGCCCUUGACUUUGGGAUAACUUCAGGAAACUGGGGCGAAUACCGGAUAGGAGCUCCUGCUGCAUGGUGGGGGUUGGAAAGUUUCGGCGGUUGGGGAUGGACUCGCGGCUUAUCAGCUUGUUGGUGGGGUAGUGGCUUACCAAGGCUUUGACGGGUAGCCGGCCUGAGAGGGUGACCGGCGUCAUUGGGACUGAGAUACGGCCCAGACUCCUACGGGAGGCAGCAGUGGGGAAUAUUGCACAAUGGGCCGAAGCCUGAUGCAGCAACGCCGCGUUCGGGAUGACGGCCUUCGGGUUGUAAACCGCUUUCGACUGUGACGAAGCGUGAGUGACGGUAAUGGGUAAAGAAGCACCGGCUAACUACGUG